rnacentral:rRNA from 1 species
AUUGAACGCUGGCGGCAUGCCUUACACAUGCAAGUCGAACGGCAGCACGGGAGCAAUCCUGGUGGCGAGUGGCGAACGGGUGAGUAAUGUAUCGGAACGUGCCCAGUCGUGGGGGAUAACGUAGCGAAAGCUACGCUAAUACCGCAUACGAUCUAUGGAUGAAGGCGGGGGAUCGCAAGACCUCGCGCGAUUGGAGCGGCCGAUAUCAGAUUAGGUAGUUGGUGGGGAAAAGGCGCACCAAGCCGACGAUCUGUAGCUGGUCUGAGAGGACGCCCGGCCACACUGGGACUGAGACACGGCCCAGACUCCUACGGGAGGCAGCAGUGGGGAAUUUUGGACGAUGGGCGCAAGCCUGAUCCAGCAAUGCCGCGUGCAGGAUGAAGGCCUUCGGGUUGUAAACUGCUUUUGUACCGAACGAAACGGCGAGCUCUAAUACAGUUUGCUAAUGACGGUACCGUAAGAAUAAGCACCGGCUAACUACGUGCCAGCCGCCGCAGUAA